rnacentral:rRNA from 1 species
GCUACGGGCGGCAGCAGUGGGGAAUAUUGCACAAUGGGGGAAACCCUGAUGCAGCGACGCCGCGUGAGUGAAGAAGUAAUUCGUUAUGUAAAGCUCUAUCAGCAGGGAAGAAAAGGACGGUACCUGAGUAAGAAGCACCGGCUAACUACGAGCCAGCAGCCGCGGUAAUACGGAGGGUGCAAGCGUUAUCCGGAUUUACUGGGUGUAAAGGGAGCGUAGACGGCAGGGCAAGUCUGGGGUGAAAGGCCGGGGCUCAACCCCCGGACUGCUCUUGAGACUGUACGGCUGGAGUGCAGGGGAGGUAAGUGGAAUUCCUGGUGUAGCGGUGAAAUGCGUAGAUAUUAGGAGGAACACCAGUUGCGAAGGCGGCUUACUGGACUGUUACUGACGUUGAGGCUCGAAAGCGUGGGGAGCAAACAGGAUUAGAUACCCCUGUAGUC